UACGUAGGGCGCAAGCGUUGUCCGGAAUUAUUGGGCGUAAAGAGCGCGUAGGCGGCCAGAUAAGUCCGGUGUGAAAGUCAAAGGCUCAACCUUUGAAUGCCGCUGGAAACUGUCUGGCUAGAGUCCGGGAGGGGCGAGUGGAAUUCCUGGUGUAGCGGUGAAAUGCGCAGAUAUCAGGAGGAACACCAAUGGCGAAGGCAGCUCGCUGGAACGGUACUGACGCUGAGGCGCGAAAGCGUGGGGAGCAAACAGG
rnacentral:rRNA from 1 species